rnacentral:rRNA from 1 species
AACCAGGAUGUUGGCUUAGAAGCAGCCACUCAUUCAAAGAGUGCGUAAUAGCUCACUGGUCGAGUGAUCCUGCGCCGAAGAUUUCCGGGGCUAAAACUUACUACCGAAGCUACGGCAUCAGUAAUGAUGGGUAGGGGAGCUUCCCAUACGGGUUGAAGCAUGACCGUAAGGACAUGUGGACAGUAUGGGAGUGAGAAUGUUGGCAUGAGUAGCGAGAUGUGGGUGAGAAUCCCACAGGCCGUAAACCCAAGGUUUCCAGGGGAAGGUUCGUCCGCCCUGGGUUAGUCGGGACCUAAGCUGAGGCCGAAAGGCGUAGGUGAUGGACAACAGGUUGAUAUUCCUGUACUACCGAUAACCGUUUGAGAGAAGGGAUGACACAGUAGGAUAAGCUAAGCACACUGUUGGUUAUGUGUGCCCAAGCAUUGAGGCAGUCAAAGUAGGCAAAUCCGCUUUGAUAAUGCUGGGAUGUGAUGGGGAGCGAAAUUUAGUAGCGAAGUAGCUGAUUUCACACUGUCAAGAAAAGUCUCUAUCGAGGUUAAAGGUACCCGUACCGCAAACCGACACAGGUGGGUGAGGAGAGUAUCCUAAGGCCAGCGAGAGAACUGUUGUUAAGGAACUCGGCAAAAUGACCCCGUAACUUAGGGAUAAGGGGUGCCACCAUCAGGUGGCCGCAGAGAAUAGGCCCAAGCGACUGUUUACCAAAAACAUAGGUUUCUGCUAAGUCGCAAGACGAUGUAUAGGAGCUGACGCCUGCCCGGUGCUGGAAGGUUAAGGGGAUCUGUUAGAGCAAUCGAAGCAGUGAACUUAAGCCCCAGUAAACGGCGGCCGUAACUAUAACGGUCCUAAGGUAGCGAAAUUCCUUGUCGGGUAAGUUCCGACCCGCACGAAAGGCGUAACGAUUUGGGCACUGUCUCAACAACAGACUCGGUGAAAUUGUAAUUCCGGUGAAGAUGCCGGAUACCUGCGACAGGACGGAAAGACCCCAUGGAGCGUUACUGUAGCUUGACAUUGGGUCUUGGUACUACAUGUACAGGAUAGGUGGGAGGCUUUGAAACCAGGACGCCAGUUUUGGCGGAGCCAUCCUUGGGAUACCACCCUUGUAGUACUGGGACUCUAACCAUAG